rnacentral:lncRNA from 7 species
GGGGUUAGGAUCAAAGUAGUUGCACGUUUACGAUCGAGAAGAUAUCGUGUUUACGCCAAACAAGUAUUAAUUAGAAUAAUAGUUCGGCAUAAUUAUGUUAAUUGAAAUUUAUCAAAUAUAAAUUAAAACUACUUAGUUUUAACUAAAUUACUAUUUUAAUAGUGAACGGUUUCUCCUUCCACAAACCGCAUGCAGGGAGAACGGUUUUUCCUCUUCCAAGAAUUUCACGCAGGGACGGAGGCGGUCGUGGCUCGCUGGGAACUGGGCAUCGACGGCACUAGCAGCUCACCGGGGCAGACGUCUAAACUACGAGUACGACAGCAGGGACGACACAUGACCUAGAGCGCAUGGGAUUGGGCAAAGCGGCGUGGUCGGGCUACACAGUGGAGGAAUGCGGUCGUCGGAGGUCCGAGGUCGGCUGCGGCAGGGCUGAGCACACGCCACGCUGGCCAGGGUGCAGGGCUGCUAGGCUCCAGGGGCUCGGCCGCGGGCUCGCCAUGCG